UAACCGCAGCAAUUGACGUUACCCGCAGAAGAAGCACCGGCUAACUCCGUGCCAGCAGCCGCGGUAAUACGGAGGGUGCAAGUGUUAAUCGGAAUUACUGGGCGUAAAGCGCACGCAGGCGGUCUGUCAAGUCGGAUGUGAAAUCCCCGGGCUCAACCUGGGAACUGCAUUCGAAACUGGCAGGCUUGAGUCUUGUAGAGGGGGGUAGAAUUCCAGGUGUAGCGGUGAAAUGCGUAGAGAUCUGGAGGAAUACCGGUGGCGAAGGCGGCCCCCUGGACAAAGACUGACGCUCAGGUGCGAAAGCGUGGGGAGCAAACAGGAUUAGAUACCCUGGUAGUCCACGCCGUAAACGAUGUCUACUUGGAGGUUGUGCCCUUGAGGCGUGGCUUCCGGAGCUAACGCGUUAAGUAGACCGCCUGGGGAGUACGGCCGCAAGGUUAAAACUCAAAUGAAUUGACGGGGGCCCGCACAAGCGGUGGAGCAUGUGGUUUAAUUCGAUGCAACGCGAAGAACC
rnacentral:rRNA from 1 species